GACAAUGUGGCGUACUGGUUUGAGUGCUAGACUACAAUUCAGGAGACCAGGGUUCAGUUCCCCGCUCAGUCA